UACGUAGGGGGCAAGCGUUGUCCGGAAUUUAUUGGGCGUAAAGAGCGCGUAGGCGGUCCGAGUAAGUCGGCUGUGAAAAGUCAGGGGCUCAACCCUUGGAAGCCGGCCCGAUACUGUCGGACUAGAGUCCGGAAGAGGCGAGUGGAAUUCCCGGUGUAGCGGUGAAAUGCGCAGAUAUCGGGAGGAACACCAAUGGCGAAGGCAGCUCGCUGGGACGGUACUGACGCUGAGGCGCGAAAGCGUGGGGAGCAAACAGG
rnacentral:rRNA from 1 species